CUCUCUAUCCUGCUUUCUAUGCACCAUUCAUAGUGACAAUAGUGGUAGGUACAGUGGGGGGGAAAGGAUUUGAUCCCCUGCUGAUUUUGUACGUUUGCCCACUUACAAAGAAAUGAUCAGUUAGUGUUCCCACAUGUCCAUAUCUACAUGUUGCAGCACUUGUUUACGGAAGACAGAGGCUACCACCUUUGCUAAUUAGCUAUCUAGCAUGCUCCAAACACCGUUGUGUAAGUGUAACUUGGGAAGUGUAGUGGAAGUGUAGUUGUCUGAUGGAGGAACCCAUAGCUGUAUGGAUCUGUGCAAAACUGCUACAGUAAGUGUAUCUUUUUUAUUUGAAGGAUCCUUUCUUGCUUAUAAAAGAUAAGGGCCAUGUGUUUCAAAAACCGUAUUGCAAGCGAUGAUUAUUGACGUUUCUAAACAUUAAAACAAUGUCAGGAUUGUAGUUCACGUGAGGUAGUCGUGGGCGAAGCUAAUGGCUGAAAACUAGGGAGAAGGCAGAAGAGGUGGGUAGUAACACGUUACACGUAGUUAAGUACAUUUUUUGAGGAACCAGUACUUUUCUAGUUACUCUCUGUGGGCUGUACUUGUAAUCUUAAUCAAGUAAUUUCUGAAGGAAAUAACUUACUUUUACUCCAUUACAUUUUACCAAAUCACUUCAGUUACACAGCAUUAUAUUAUUAUAUUGUCAGUGUCAGAUGAAAAGUUUGUCACUCCAAAUAAUUUAUUUAAAUUAAAUUAUUUUACAUGAAUCGAUACUAUUGGUUACCAAUUAGCUGUCAAGCUCCCACCUAUUCCUCUCUUUGGAGUGGUGGAUCCAUGCCGUUAUUUAAUACUUUUUGGAGAAUUCAAUGAGGGGUGUUGACGUCAACCGCAUAUAUUCAAUGGUAAGAGAUGUUACGUAACUAGCCUCAUGUCAUGAAUAUGCAUAGCCAUCUCGAGACAACUCCUAAAUAAAGUGAUAUUUUUUUCUCAACGUUGCUGGGAAGUCACAUCUUCUACUUAUAUCAGUACACUCUUAACAGCCUAAGCAUUACGAAACUUAUAUUCAAUCAAAUAAACAUAAUGUAGCAAAUUCGACACUCUCAAUGACCUCCAUACAAAAACUCAUCGAUGUCACAUGAUGAAGAAUUGACCCAGCUAUCCUUUCCCCCUUCUUCUAUGGUGAAGUGCACGUCUUCACUCCUGAGGAUAUUUUUAUUUGUGGGUUCUUAGCCAGACGCGAUCAGAGCUUGUAGCAGCACAACCGAGAGGGAGGAGAAUGGGCCUGCCAAGAAAACAAAAUAGCCUUCCAAGUGGAAAGUAGAGAUUCGGAAGAGAAGGAUGUAGGGUUUAUCCUACUUUGGCAGGGAAAAGAUGGUUUGAGUUGACUUUGGCAAUUCAUAUCUGCACUGUUUGAUUAUUUAUUACAUACAUGAUUCUUACCAGAAUACUUGUAUUCCAUGCUGAAAUGUCUGAUUUGCAUACUAGUAACAUGAUUAAUAGUGAAAUUUCGAUAUUCAUUGUUUGACUGUUGUACCACUUACCUGAUCCUACUUGAUAUUUCAUUCUGAGUAAAAAAUUAAACAUCACACUUUGUGUAAAUAUUUUUAGGACGCAUUCACGAUCACAUUUACUUGAAAUUAUAUUGUGAAAAUAAAUGUUCAUUAAUGCUA